UGGGGAAUAUUGGACAAUGGGCGAAAGCCUGAUCCAGCCAUGCCGCGUGUGUGAAGAAGGUCUUCGGAUUGUAAAGCACUUUAAGUUGGGAGGAAGGGCAUUAACCUAAUACGUUAGUGUUUUGACGUUACCGACAGAAUAAGCACCGGCUAACUUCGUGCCAGCAGCCGCGGUAAUACGAAGGGUGCAAGCGUUAAUCGGAAUUACUGGGCGUAAAGCGCGCGUAGGUGGUUCGUUAAGUUGGAUGUGAAAGCCCCGGGUUCAACCUGGGAACUGCAUCCAAAACUGGCGAGCUAGAGUACGGUAGAGGGUGGUGGAAUUUCCUGUGUAGCGGUGAAAUGCGUAGAUAUAGGAAGGAACACCAGUGGCGAAGGCGACCACCUGGACUGAUACUGACACUGAGGUGCGAAAGCGUGGGGAGCAAACAGG
rnacentral:rRNA from 1 species